UGAGGAAUAUUGGACAAUGGGCGCAAGCCUGAUCCAGCGACGCCGCGUGAGUGAUGAAGGCCUUUGGGUCGUAAAGCUCUGUCAGCAGGGAAGAACGGCCCUACGGAUAAUACCCGUAGGGAUUGACGGUACCUGCAGAGGAAGCACCGGCUAACUCCGUGCCAGCAGCCGCGGUAAUACGGAGGGUGCGAGCGUUAAUCGGAAUUACUGGGCGUAAAGGGCGCGUAGGCGGCCGAUCAAGUCAGAUGUGAAAGCCCACGGCUUAACCGUGUGAAGUGCAUCUGAAACUGGUUGGCUUGAGUAUCGGAGAGGAAAGUGGAAUUCCCGGUGUAGAGGUGAAAUUCGUAGAUAUCGGGAGGAAUACCGGUGGCGAAGGCGACUUUCUGGACGAAUACUGACG
rnacentral:rRNA from 1 species